CAGUCGCCGCGGGAAUACGAAGGGGGCUAGCGUUGUCCGGAAUUAUUGGGCGUAAAGGGCUCGCAGGCGGUUUCUUAAGUCUGAUGUGAAAGCCCCCGGCUCAACCGGGGAGGGUCAUUGGAAACUGGGAAACUUGAGUGCAGAAGAGGAGAGUGGAAUUCCACGUGUAGCGGUGAAAUGCGUAGAGAUGUGGAGGAACACCAGUGGCGAAGGCGACUCUCUGGUCUGUAACUGACGCUGAGGAGCGAAAGCGUGGGGAGUGAACAGGAUUAGAUACCCCAGUAGUCCCUGUCUCUUAUAC
rnacentral:rRNA from 1 species